rnacentral:rRNA from 1 species
UCAGUCGACUCCUACGGGGAGGCAGCAGUGGGGAAUAUUGCACAAUGGGGGAAACCCUGAUGCAGCCAUGCCGCGUGUGUGAAGAAGGCCUUCGGGUUGUAAAGCACUUUCAGUAGGGAGGAAGGUAGUGUAGUUAACACCUGCAUUAUUUGACGUUACCUACAGAAGAAGCACCGGCUAACUCCGUGCCAGCAGCCGCGGUAAUACGGAGGGUGCGAGCGUUAAUCGGAAUUACUGGGCGUAAAGCGCAUGCAGGCGGCCUGUUAAGUCAGAUGUGAAAGCCCGGGGCUUAACCUCGGAAUUGCAUUUGAAACUGGCAGGCUAGAGUCUUGUAGAGGGGGGGUAGGAAUUUCAGGUGUAGCGGUGAAAUGCGUAGAGAUCUGAAGGAAUACCAGUGGCGAAGGCGGCCCCCCUGGACAAAGACUGACGCUCAGAUGCGAAAGCGUGGGGAGCAAACAGGAUUAGAUACCCUGGUAG